GGCGCGCGGCGGCGGAGCGGUGGAGGGACUCACUGCGACGGAACGACAAGGUCCACUGGAGUCGCGCCGAGCCCAAGCCCGCGCCACUAGACAGACGCUACCCCCACCUGCAGUGUCCGCCCACGUUCCAGCCGGAGACAUACUCGCUCCUGCGUCCGCCGCAGCACUGACGGCCAGGACAUGCAGGACAUGCAGUACAUGCAGUACAUGCAGUACAUAAACUAACAAUACGCGCCCUACAAAUGCUUACAAACUAUGAAGCCUGUCCUCGAAGCGGCAACGUUAAAUCCGCCUUUUUUUAAAAAAAUGUAUACAUUCAUCAAAAGACGCGACGUGGACAGUGGAUCGAACAUACAUACACACGGCGCCGACAAUCAAUUCUGUCGGAAAAUAUUUCCUCACCAACUGCGUACGUUCAAAUAUUAUGUAAUUGUACAUAACUAGAAGUAACUACCACACCAGUUGUCUAAGACAUUGUAUCACACUCAAGUUACAGAACAUAUCUAUCGCUACAUUGUAUGGUACAUAUAUAAGUGUGUCGCAUUCCACGAAUUUUAUAAAAAUGGCAUAUUUAAUCUGGACACCAAGCUAAAAUUUGUCGAAUUAUUCAGUAUAUUAUACUAUAUUUUUUUGAAAUAUUAAAUACGAAUGAGUCAUCAUCUAAUUAUAAACUUUACUGUAUCCAUCAUAUUCAUAAGUGACGCGCGACAUUGACUUCUGACAUGUUGUUCAACGCAAAUUGGUUCACAAAUCAAUAGCUUGAUGUUUUGAUAAUAUUGACUGACCAUGAUGUGCCUUUAGCCAAAUGCCAUUUAGUGCUUGUCUACAUGUAGAAUA